UACGUAGGGUGCGAGCGUUGUCCGGAAUUAUUGGGCGUAAAGAGCUCGUAGGCGGUUUGUUGCGUCGGCCGUGAAAACCUGCAGCUUAACUGUGGGCCUGCGGCCGAUACGGGCAGACUUGAGUUCGGUAGGGGAGACUGGAAUUCCAGGUGUAGCGGUGAAAUGCGUAGAUAUCUGGAGGAACACCGGUGGCGAAGGCGGCAUCCUGGACCGAUACUGACACUGAGGAGCGAAAGCCAGGGGAGCAAACGGG
rnacentral:rRNA from 1 species